rnacentral:misc_RNA from 1 species
UCCGGUUUGGCACCGGCAGUCUCCCUAGAGUUCCCGGCAUCACCCGCUGGCAACUAAGGACAGGGGUUGCGCUCGUUGCGCCACUUAAGGCAACACCUCACGGCACGAGCUGACGACAGCCAUGCAGCACCUGUGUUCCCGUUCCCUUUCGGGCACAGCCCCGUUUCCGGGACCUCCAGGACAUGUCAAGGGUAGGUGAGGUUUUUCGCGUUGCAUCGAAUUAAUCCACAUAAUCCACCGCUUGUGCGGGUCCCCGUCAAUUCCUUUGAGUUUUAGCCUUGCGGCCGUACUCCCCAGGCGGGGUGCUUAAUGCGUUAGCUUCGGCACGGACGGAGUCGACACCGCCCACACCUAGCACCCAUCGUUUACGGCGUGGACUAC